UACGGGGGGGGUAAGCGUUGUUCGGAAUUACUGGGCGUAAAGGGCUCGUAGGCGGCCAACUAAGUCAGACGUGAAAUCCCUCAGCUUAACUGGGGAACUGCGUCUGAUACUGGAUGGCUUGAGUUUGGGAGAGGGAUGCGGAAUUCCAGGUGUAGCGGUGAAAUGCGUAGAUAUCUGGAGGAACACCGGUGGCGAAGGCGGCAUCCUGGACCAACACUGACGCUGAGUGAGCGAAAGCCAGGGGAGCAAACGGG
rnacentral:rRNA from 1 species